rnacentral:rRNA from 1 species
GACGAACGCUGGCGGCGUGCCUAAUACAUGCAAGUAGAACGCACAGUUUAUACCGUAGCUUGCUACACCAUAGACUGUGAGUUGCGAACGGGUGAGUAACGCGUAGGUAACCUGCCUGGUAGCGGGGGAUAACUAUUGGAAACGAUAGCUAAUACCGCAUAAUAUUGAUUAUUGCAUGAUAAUUAAUUGAAAGGUGCAAUUGCACCACUACCAGAUGGACCUGCGUUGUAUUAGCUAGUAGGUGAGGUAACGGCUCACCUAGGCGACGAUACAUAGCCGACCUGAGAGGGUGAUCGGCCACACUGGGACUGAGACACGGCCCAGAAUCCUACGGGAGGCAGCAGUAGGGAAUCUUCGGCAAUGGACGAAAGUCUGACCGAGCAACGCCGCGUGAGUGAAGAAGGUUUUCGGAUCGUAAAGCUCUGUUGUAAGAGAAGAACGGGUGUGAGAGUGGAAAGUUCACACUGUGACGGUAUCUUACCAGAAAGGGACGGCUAACUACGUG